AUGCACGUCGAGCGGAAGGGGGAAAGUAGCUUGCUACUUUUGCCGGCUAGCGUGGGACGGGUGAGUAAUGCCUGGGGAUCUGCCCAGUCGAGGGGGAUAACUACUGGAAACGGUAGCUAAUACCGCAUACGCCCUACGGGGGAAAGCAGGGGACCUUCGGGCCUUGCACGAUUGGAUGAACCCAGAUGGGAUUAGCUAGUUGGUGAGGUAAUGGCUCACCAAGGCCACGAUCCCUAGCUGGUCUGAGAGGAUGAUCAGCCCCUCUGGAACUGACACACUGCCCACACUCCUACGGGAGGCAGCCGGGGGGAAUAUUGGACAAUGGGGGAAACCCUGAUGCAGCCAUGCCGCGUGUGUGAAGAUCGCCUUCGGGUUGUAACCAACUUUCCACGACGAGGAAAGGUUGGUAGCUUGUAUCUGCCAGCUGUGACUUUCCUCGCGGACUACCCACCGGCUAACUCCGUGCCAACAUGCGCAGGAAUAGUGAGGGUGCUCGCGUUAAUCCGAAUUACUCGACAUGAUCCACACGCAGGGCGGUGGAUAAGUUAUAUGUUAAAGCCCCGGGCUCGACCUGGGAAUCGCCUUUAAAACUGUCCAGCUAGAGUCUUGUAGAAGGCACUAGAAUUGGACGUGUAGCUCCGAUCUGCAUCGAGAUCUGCAUGAAUACCCAUGGCGUAUGCUGCCCUCUGCUCACAGACUGAUGCUACCGUGCCAAAGCGUUUUGAGCAAAGAGGAUUAUAUACCCU
rnacentral:rRNA from 1 species